rnacentral:rRNA from 1 species
GGAGUGCGGUCGCAAGAUUAAAACUCAAAGGAAUAGACGGGGACCCGCACAAGUGGUGGAGCAUGUGGUUUAAUUCGAAGAUACGCGAAGAACCUUACCUAGCCUUGACAUAUUUUAGAACACUUUAGAGAUAGAGUGGUGCCUUCGGGAGCUAAUAUACAGGUGCUGCACGGCUGUCGUCAGCUCGUGUCGUGAGAUGUUGGGUUAAGUCCCGCAACGAGCGCAACCCUCGUCACUAGUUACUAACGGUUCGGCCGAGGACUCUAGUGAGACUGCCUUCGUAAGGAGGAGGAAGGUGAGGACGACGUCAAGUCAUCAUGGCCCUUACGGCUAGGGCAACACACGUGCUACAAUGGUUGGGACAAUGAGACGCGAUACCGCGAGGUGGAGCAAAUCUAUAAACCCAAUCUCAGUUCGGAUUGUAGUCUGUAACUCGACUACAUGAAGCUGGAAUCACUAGUAAUCGUAGAACAGCUAUGCUACGGUGAAUACGUUCCCGGGUCUUGCACACACCGCCCGU